ACGGAAGGCAGCAGUCGGGAAUAUUGCGCAAUGGAGGAAACUCUGACGCAGUGACGCCGCGUAUAGGAAGAAGGUUUUCGGAUUGUAAACUAUUGUCGUUCGGGAAGAAAAAAAUGACAGUACCUAAGGAGGAAGCACCGGCUAACUAUGUGCCAGCAGCCGCGGUAAUACAUAGGGUGCGAGCGUUAUCCGGAUUUAUUGGGUGUAAAGGGUGCGUAGACGGGAAUUUAAGUUAGUUGUGAAAUCCCUCGGCUUAACUGAGGAACUGCAACUAAAACUAAAUUUCUUGAGUGUCGGAGGGGGAAGUGGAAUUCCUAGUGUAGCGGUGAAAUGCGUAGAUAUUAGGAGGAACACCAGUGGCGAAGGCGACUUUCUGGACAGAAACUGACGUUGAGGCACGAAAGUGUGGGGAGCAAACAGGAUUAGAUACCCUAGUA
rnacentral:rRNA from 1 species